rnacentral:rRNA from 1 species
CCCUUAGAUGUUCUGGGCUGCACGCGCGCUACACUGAUGCACUCAACGAGUUUACGACCUUGCCCGAUAGGGUUGGGUAAUCUUUUUAAAAUGCAUCGUGAUGGGGAUAGAUUAUUGCAAUUAUUAAUCUUCAACGAGGAAUUCCUAGUAAGCGCGAGUCAUCAGCUCGCGCUGAUUACGUCCCUGCCCUUUGUACACACCGCCCGUCGCUACUACCGAUUGGAUGGUUUAGCGAGAACUUUGGACCGGAGCUCGGGUGGUCAGCAAUGGUCGCCCGAGACAUACUGGGAAAUCGCUCCAGCUUGAUCAUCUAGAGGAAGUAAAAGUCGUAACA